UUCAAAGCAACUUGAAGUUUCCAAAUCACUAAAAAUAGAAGAAGAAGAAGAUGAAGGUGAUGAUGAUGAAGAUGAAGCAACUUCAAAUUACUGUUCUUUCUGUGCAAAAAAUGGGAGGAUGUCACCCCAGGCUUCAUUCCUCAAGAGACUUCCACAUCUCACUCCAAACUAUAAAGCUAACUGAGCAUAUAGCACCACCAGAUGGACUAAGGACUCCAGAGCAGGAGGUGAUUGAGGCUUCCUGAGGCUCCACUAACCCUUAAGCUUCUAAGAGACUUGGGGAUUCUUACACCUGGUGGACCUGAGAGAGGGAUGUUCCCACUGCCUGCACCGUGGAAAGACUAGUUAACAUCUCUUACAUCCAAUCCAUUGUGUGAAACCCUCAUCCAGCGCACGCUAAAUCAGCGUGAUUGCAUGCCAAACAGAGGAUAAAAGGCUCGGAGGUGGGUACAGUAAUCCAGGGAGAGCGGGUGACCUGCUUGAAGGCAUACUGUUUUAUUCUCUCACACAUAUUCACUUCUAAGCCUCUGAGUAUAUGCAGAUUAGUCUUGUCUGAUCAGUGGACUCUCCAGUUAUGUCCUAUUUUUGUUUUUUUCUUUCUCUCUAACUGAACUGUGUGGACACUGUCUGUAAUGUGCAUGCAUGUGUCUGAUUGUAACUGUGUAUCUGGAGGGGAUUUUUGCUUGUUUGCAAGUUCCGGGCCAGGCAGGUUUGAGUGUGCGUGACUAAAAGUACUGUAUGUGCUUGUGCAUGUGUGUGUUUAGGUAAAUGUGGAGGUAUGUUUGCCAGACACACGGCUUUGUCUAGUCCUGGCAUCGUGCUCGGCUCACCAGAUGUUCUCCUUUUUUAUCAUCCUCCA